rnacentral:rRNA from 1 species
CCUACGUGUGGCAGCAGUGGGGAAUAUUGCGCAAUGGGCGAAAGCCUGACGCAGCGACGCCGCGUGAGGGAUGAAGGUCUUCGGAUCGUAAACCUCUGUCAGCAGGGAAGAACGGUCACUGUGCUAAUCAGCAGUGAAUUGACGGUACCUGCAAAGGAAGCACCGGCUAACUCCGUGCCAGCAGCCGCGGUAAUACGGAGGGUGCGAGCGUUAAUCGGAAUUACUGGGCGUAAAGCGCUCGUAGGCGGUAUGUCAAGUCAAGGGUGAAAUCCCCGCGCUCAACGUGGGAACUGCCUUUGAAACUGGCAAACUGGAGUGUGUGAGAGGAUGGUGGAAUUCCAGGUGUAGGAGUGAAAUCCGUAGAGAUCUGGAGGAACAUCAGUGGCGAAGGCGACUAUCUGGCACAUGACUGACGCUGAGGAGCGAAAGCGUGGGUAGCAAACAGGAUUAGAUACCCGGGUAGUC